rnacentral:rRNA from 1 species
ACAACUUUCAACAACGGAUCUCUUGGCUCUUGCAUCGAUGAAGAACGCAGCGAAAUGCGAUAAGUAAUGUGGAUUGCAGAAUCCAGUGAAUCAUCGAAUCCUUGAACGCACCUUGCGCCCUUUGGUAUUCCGAGGGGCAUGCCUGUUUGUGAGU